rnacentral:rRNA from 1 species
AAAAAGGAUAAGAUGGAGGCAAAACAGAUCUGUAACUUCGGGAUAAAGAUU